rnacentral:tRNA from 1 species
AGACAAAUAACUAAACAAAAAAGUAUAUCAAUUACACUGAUAAAAUGAUUAAACUUACUAAUCUUUGUCUU